rnacentral:rRNA from 1 species
GACAGAGGCCUCGAGCGUUAGGCGGAAUCACUGGGCUUAAAGCGUGUGUAGGCGGAUCGUUAAGUACCUUGUGAAAUCCCACGGCUCAACCGUGGAACGGCUGGGUAUACUGGCGGUCUUGGGCCAUUCAGGGGCGACUGGAACAAGCGGUGGAGCGGUGAAAUGCGUAGAUAUCGCUUGGAACGCCGAAGGUGAAAACAGGUCGCUGGGGAUGUGCCGACGCUGAGACACGAAAGCCAGGGGAGCAAACAGGAUUAGAUAC